CUCUGAUACCAAUUUGUUGUCCCAGAAAGUAUGUCCAAGAGGGAGGUGAAUUGGACAAUUAUCAAUUUUUCUACUCUCGCUCUAAGCACUCUGAAAAAUUGAAGCUAGAUUAGGCACUCUAAUGUGUGUGAAUAAGUGGCAAAAAAGUGCUGCAGAAAGUACAACAGGGUUUUAAUCAAAACACUUCAAAGAACUAUAAGUUAGCUAAAUUUUGCUACUCAACAAGCAUGUAACACUUCCUAACAUUCGAGUAAAUAUACAAGCAAAAUACCUAGCACACACACACAUACAUAUAUAUAUAUUACAAAUAACAACUUAAAGUGCUGGAAAUAAAGAUAAUAAGGAGAAGAAGAUCAAACACUAUGAUUUACAGUGAUUCGGCUCUCACUAGCCUACAUUCACUCCUCAAAGAAUCCCUUUGAGAGUUGCUCUUUACUAUAUGUCUCGUUUCAAGGGGCAAGAAACAAGCUUUUUACAAUCCCACGAACUUCCAAGGGUUCUUGCAACCUUUACAAGUGCUUCUCCACACUCAAACUCUUCGUCAAGCUUCAAGGAUGCUUGAUAACCUUAUAGAGUUUUUUGUAAGAUCACUUUCAAUCACUCAAGAAUAAAACCAUAAAGAGCUAUUAAGAUGAGAGAGAAUGUUUGCCAAUAUAAGAACCAAAACAAAAAAACAUGAAUUUCAAGAACAAAGGCUUAUAAAUGAUCUCAAUUGAUCACUAAGAGUUGAAGUGCUUUUAUUAGGUGAAAGGGUAGUAAAUGAAGCCUUGUAUAGGAACUUCUGAAAUGUAGCUGUUAGGAUUCAAAAAGGUGACCAACAGAUAGAUUUUUUCAAAGAAAACUAGCCGUUAUUUCGUCUUUUACUCAAAAGUAGCUGACUAAAAUUAAAACUGUUCGACAUUAGUUAGCUAAUUUGAAGAAUCAUCUGCAUCUACUGUUUUGUCACUUAUUAAGUUGUUCUUUGCAAAUUUUUUUACAUGUUAUAAUCCAUAUCUGCAUGAUAGGUUAUCACCGAGCAACCAAUUGGAACAGUCCUAUUUUUGGUUAUACAAGGUACGCCAGCAUUGAUGAAAGUUGAAGUACUUGAGAGCGAUAUGCAGGGAAACUGCACAUUGGCCCAGGUAUCCAUGUCUUUAUCUGAAAUAUAUGAGACAGAACAAAUCCUCUCCUGUUAAACAGGUUGAAAUUGAGUCAGGAAGGCCACACCAAGCACGUAUUCAUAUUUCUUUUAUCGAGCAUCCUUCUCUAGGUAAACCAAGUCGUGAUUAUUUUAUAGCGCUGUGAGUUUGAACAAUUAAAUUAUGUAUUAUGUAGGGAUGUGGUAAAAUUACUUGAAGCCAUUAACAGCAAGAACUACCAUUUUGUCUAUUAUUCUAGUUGAUAUUUCUGCUGCAUCUUGUGAAAGCCAAGGUAAUCUAGGGUACUUUACCAACUACAAACUAUAUAGAAUAACAGAACAAGUUGUUUGAUUUGGCUAAAAACACUUGCAUGAGCCUUUGUAUUACCAAAAUUGUCAUCAAACUUUUCAUUUACCGUUUGCUACAUCUUUUGUUGCAAAUUUCAAUUUGUUUUUUCUUGUCUUACAGACAAUAUGGUCAGAUAGGUGAAUGAAGGAAAAUUAUUUAUGCAACUGAUCUAGUUGGAAAGAAAGCUUAGUUCAUUUGAGAUCCUCAUUAUGUUGUUGGUUGUGGCCAACCCAAGUGCUUUGAAUUAUGUGAAAUAUAGUCUAGAGUAUUUUACAUCAACUUGUAUACACAUUUCUUGUUGAUUGCUAAUCAUUUUCGGUUUAAAAGGUUUAUUUCCUUGCAAUUGGUUAUUGAAGUAGCGUGAAAAGAACAUCAGAAUGUCUUUUGCUUGUUUGUUAUUAACUUUUUGUAGAGGGUAUCAGAGACUACAAAACCUGUUCCUGGAGAAUGUGGCUAUUACUUGCAUGCACAUCAAUUGAUCCUCUUGCACCCAACUACAAAAGAGGUAAGCUUGGACUUUUUUCAACAAAUUUACAAUCUUGCAUAACCAUUCCUUUACGACUACAGUAAGAUGCUCCAACAUCCAGAAUCUCUUUGUUCUGGUAUGAAACAUGCAACAUAGUUUUCUGCAAAUGCACCCUUAAAUUUUAUAUUCGCUUUCCAACUACACAUGCUGAUUUUCUUUUUGGUGUUGCUUAUUUUAUAUAGGUUAUUAAAUUUUAUUCCGCAUAUUCUACAAACAAGAGCAGAAAAGACAAACCAUCAAUUGACCUCCUUAGAUAAAGACAAAUCCACAGAGAAAGCAUCAAUAAUUGAAGGAAAACCACAGCCACAGAACCGCGAGAUAGCUGUUGAAAAGUGAAAACCACAUCCGAAUAGAUAAGAAGAAGAAAAAGAAUAUUUUGCCUCUAGCAUUUCAAGCAUAAGAUUAAAAUAUAUUGAUAUAAAUUAUCCUACCAACUGUGUAUGAGGGGUUAAUCGUCAGAAUGGAAUAGAUAGGCGAUCGAAUGACCGAGGGACAGUGACAAAGCCCCUCUCAACUUUCAGAGAUUAUUUCUGUAUUCCCAUCAAAUACAACAAAUACAAAGCAGCUUCAAUAUUACAUUGCACCUAAAUUAUAUUUUUACCAAAAAGACGGACUUGAGAACCGUCCACUGCCCUAUCAUUCAAUUGAACAAUACAAAAACUAUUAUACAGGGCACGGCAAAAAAAGAUAAUUUGCCGCUGAGGACCUCUUCAACAGGCCCUCUCACCACUACUCCUACCUGCCUAUAUCUCCCUUACUUCUCCAAGAUUCCUCCUCUCUGAUAGUGCUUCCAUUUUGCCCACCAUACUGUUCAGUUUUAGAGUAGUGCAUUUUUAGGGCGGCUACUGGAUCUGAAACACCCGUGCAUGGUCCGCCAACAAGAACUCCCCCUCUUCCUACAACAUUCAUUCCUACCAUUCCCCUUCCCUGCUCCUGUAAACUUGAGAUUGAAUCAAACCCAUUUCUUCUUGGCAUCUCAGAGAAUAUAUCCUGCCGCUGUUUCAUAUCUACAGAAUACGGCAGCACAUUACUACUGUCGUGACUCCUGUAUAUAUGAUAAUCCACAACUCCAUUGCUACCACUUAUUUCCCUCGGAGGUAAAACUGAGACACUGUUCAAAUUAUGAUCAUUACACUUCACAGCAGCCUGCAAAGCCUGCUGCUCCAU
rnacentral:misc_RNA from 1 species